UACGGGGGGGGUAAGCGUUGUUCGGAAUUACUGGGCGUAAAGGGCUCGUAGGCGGCCAACUAAGUCAGACGUGAAAUCCCUCAGCUUAACUGGGGAACUUCGUCUGAUACUGGAUGGCUUGGAUUUGGGAGAGGGAUGCGGAAUUCCAGGUGUAGCGGUGAAAUGCGUAGAUACCUGGAGGAACACCAGUGGCGAAGGCGGCUUUCUGGUCUGUAACUGACGCUGAGGCGCGAAAGCGUGGGGAGCAAACAGG
rnacentral:rRNA from 1 species